GCCCGAUGUGGAACUCCAUCCUGGGACUCCAAAAAGGUUGCUUCAGAAUUUUCAACAGUGACUGGCAUUGGUGAAAAGGAAAUAACCAGACUUGGGGGGGAUUUCUGGACACUGGCUCUGAAUUGACACUAACUUGAAGAAACCCAAAAUGUCACAACGUUUCACCAAUAGGAGUAGGGGCUUAUGGAGGUCAGAUGGUCAAUGGAGUUUUAGCUCAGGUCUGUCUCAAAGUGUUUCCAGUGGGUCUGCAAACCUAUCAUCUGGUCAUUUCUCCAAUUCUGGAGUGCAUAAUUAGAAUAGGCGUACUCAGCAAGUAGUAGAAUCCCCAUAUUGGUUCCCUGACCUGGAGAACCAAUAUGGAGUAAGUGCUAUUAUCAUAAGAAAGGUGAAGUGGAAGUCCCUAGAAUUGUCCUAUCUAUGAAAAGAGUAAACCAAAAGCAACACCACAUUCUUGGAGGGAUUUCAGAAAUUAGUGCCACCAUCAGGGAGUUGAUGAAUGCAAGGGUUGUGAUUCUUACCACAUCUCCAAUCAGCUCACCUCGUUGGCCUAUGCAGAAAAUGGACCUUGGAGAAUGGCAGCAGAUCAUCAUAAACUUAAUCGGAUGUUGACUUCAAUUACAAUGUUGUACCCCAUGUGAUCAUUGCUUAAGCAAAUUAACAUUCCCUGGUAUCAGCCUGUAGCCAUUGAUUGAACAAAUGUUUUUUUCUUGUUAUCUGCUAGUACAGACCACUAGACCAGUUUGCUUUCAGCUAAGUGGGCCAGCGAAAUACCCUCACUGUCCUACAUCAGGAGUAUAUCAACUUUCCAAUUCUAUGUUAUAAUUUAGCUCUCAGGGACCUUGAUUGUCUUUCCCUUCCACUAGAUAUCACACUAAUUACAUAGAUAACUUGUUGAUUGGACUUAGUGAGCAAGAAGUAGCAACUACUAUGGACUUGGCUGGACAUUUGCAUGUCAAUGAGUGGGAAAUAAAAAUUCAGUGGUACCUACUUCAGUGAAAUUUCUAGUGGUUCAGUUUAGGGCAUUUCAAGAUACCUCUUCUAAGAUAAAGGGUAAAUUGUUUGUCUGGCUCUUCCUACAACCAAAAAAGAGGCACCAUGUGCAGUGGUCCUCUUUGCAUUUGGAGGCAAUGCAUUUCUUAGUGAGAUGUGCUACUCUAACUCAUUUACUGAGUAACACAAAAGCUGCUAGUUUUGAGUAGAACAAAGUACAAGAGAGGGCCCUGCAACGGGUCCAGCUGUGGAGCAUGCUGAUUUGCCACUGGGGCCAGAUGCACUGGUAUUUGAAAUGGCAGUGGCAGACAACGGUGCUGGAAUCUUUAAAGGGCCCUAUAGAUGAAUCACAGCAUAGAUCCUUAAAGGGCUUUGGAACAAUGCCCUGCCAUUCUUGUGGAUAACUAUUCUCCUUUUCAGAAACAACUUUUGGCUCCCUAUUGGGUUUUAGAAGGGAUCAGGUUACGAUGUAACCUGAGCUGCCCAUCAUAAAUUGUCCGAUCCAUCAAGCAAUAAAGUUGGGUGUCAACAGCAGCAGCACUCCAUCAUCAAGUCGCGGUGGCAUAUAUGAGACUGGACUCAAGCAGGCCAUGAUGGUGUGGUGAAGUUACAUGAGAAAGUAGUCCAAAUGCCCAUGGUGCCCACUCUUGCUAUAUAUUACUUUUUCUUCCCCAAUCUGCAUCUAUGGCAUCAUGGGAAGUCUCUCUCAAUCAUGUGAGGAACAGAGGCCUCAGUUCUACUUUAUGUAUUAUUCCAUGAAAUAUACAGACAUCACCAUACAGUGGACAUCUGUAACACCACAGUCCCUUCUGGGUCAUUCCUGAAGGACAACUGUGAAAGGAAAUCAAUCCAAUGAGUAGAAUUUAAGCAGCAUGAUUGGUUAUUUUUAUCAAAAAGAGAAAUGGCCAGAUGUGUGAUUUUAUAACAAUUUAUGAGUUAUGGCCAAUGAUUUGCCUGAAUGGUCAGGGACUUGAAAGUAACAUGAUUGGGAAAUUGGUGACAAGGGGUCCAGGGAAAAAGUCUAUGGGUAGACUCUCUGAAUGGACAGAAAGUAUAAAGAUAUUUGAGUCUCAGGAGGAUUUUAAUAAUAAAAUGGGUAGGAUGACCCAUGGGCUUCUAUUCACCAAGCCCAAUCUGGCUAAAGGCACUGCUAAGUGUCCAGUGUGCCAGCAACAGAGACCAACACUGAGCCACCAUGACACCAUACCACGGGGUCAUCAAAAUUCUACUUGGUAAUAAGUGGUAACAUUGAACUGCUAAUCAUCAUGGAAGGGGCAAGAUUUUGUUCUUACUAGAAAAAAAAAAAAAGCACUUCUGUGGAUACAGAUUUCCUUCCUUACAUACAAUGCUUCUACUAAAACUACCAUCCAUGGCGUACAGAACACCUCAUCCACUGUCAUAGUAUUCCACGUGGCAUUGCUUCUGAUCAAGGAACCCACUUCACAACAACAUGCAUCAGAGGACCCACACUUGUGGGAUCCAUUGAUCUUACCAUGUUCCCCAUCAUCCUGAAGCAGCUGAUUGACAGAAGGUGGAAUAGCAAUGCCGGUUAGGUAGCACAGUCUUUACGACUGGCUCAGGUGCUCCAGGACGGUGUAUAUGCUCGGCUACUAAUAUAUGGGACUGUAGCCAGGAUUCACGGGUCUCAAACUCAAGGGAUAGAAAUGGAGUGACACCACUCAUUAUCACACCUGGUGUUCCACUCACAAGAAUUUUUCUUUCAAAAAAAAAAAAAGAAUUUUUCUUUCUGUUUCUAAAACCUUAUGGUCUGCUGGUCUAGAUAACUUAGAACCAAAGGAAGAAAUGCUUCCACUAGUAGAGGCAACAAUGAUUCUAUUAAAUUGGAAGUUAACACUACCUCCCAGACUUUUUGGACUCCUCAGGCCUCUGACUCUACAGGCAAAGAAGGGAGUUGGUAUACUUACUGAGGUUAUUGAUCCUGAUUACUAAGGGGAAACUGAACUGCUGAUCCACAAUAGAAACAAGGAGAAGCAUGUCCAUAUGCAGCUUCCUCAGAUGUUUCUUAGUACUACCAUGCGCUACCACUACAGUCCACGGAAGCUACACCUACCAAUUCAUGAAGGACCACAGUGGCCCAUACCCUCCAGGAAGGAAGGUUUGCAUCAUCUCAGCAGGCAAAGAAGCACAACCAUCUUAGGUGUUUGCUUGCAGUUAGGAGAAUACAGAAUGGGUGGUGGAACGUGUGUCAUUAUAAAUCCUAGCUACAAACAUGGGAUUAGUUGCAGAAAUGAAGAUUGCAAUUGUUAUAAGUAUUCUUUAUUUUGCUGUGAAUAUGUUUAUAUUAUAUAUGAUAUCUAUGAUAGAUAGAUGAUAGAUAGAUAGAUGAUAGAUAGAUAGAUAGAUAGAUAGAUAGAUAGAUAGAUAGAUGAUAGAGACACCCCUGGCUCAUACAAAAGUAUAAAUAAGAAAGAUAACAACAAAAACAUUUUGAGAAUUAGGACACAUACAAAAUAAGAAAUUAAAAAAAAAAGAAAGAAGAUGUAAUUAAUCAUUUCAAAUGCCCUCAAUAAGUACAGUCAGCAGAGCAUUCCCGAAGGUAAAUGAAGCAGCAGCUUCAUACUGAUGAAUCCACUGACCGUGACAAAUAGCAUCAUCUUUAUAUAGACUCUUAGGCUGAUCAAGAAUCUUCAUCAAAACUAUUUAAUGAAAAAAGGC
rnacentral:lncRNA from 1 species